UGGGGAAUUUUGGACAAUGGGGGAAACCCUGAUCCAGCCAUCCCGCGUGUGCGAUGAAGGCCUUCGGGUUGUAAAGCACUUUUGGCAGGAAAGAAACGUCGCGGGUUAAUACCCCGCGAAACUGACGGUACCUGCAGAAUAAGCACCGGCUAACUACGUGCCAGCAGCCGCGGUAAUACGUAGGGUGCAAGCGUUAAUCGGAAUUACUGGGCGUAAAGCGUGCGCAGGCGGUUCGGAAAGAAAGAUGUGAAAUCCCAGAGCUUAACUUUGGAACUGCAUUUUUAACUACCGGGCUAGAGUGUGUCAGAGGGAGGUGGAAUUCCGCGUGUAGCAGUGAAAUGCGUAGAUAUGCGGAGGAACACCGAUGGCGAAGGCAGCCUCCUGGGAUAACACUGACGCUCAUGCACGAAAGCGUGGGGAGCAAACAGGAUUAGGUACCCUGGUAGUCCACGCCCUAAACGAUGUCAACUAGCUGUUGGGGCCUUCGGGCCUUGGUAGCGCAGCUAACGCGUGAAGUUGACCGCCUGGGGAGUACGGUCGCAAGAUUAAAACUCAAAUGAAUUGACGGGGGUCAUAGCUG
rnacentral:rRNA from 1 species